rnacentral:rRNA from 1 species
AUUGAACGCUGGCGGCAGGCUUAACACAUGCAAGUCGAACGAGUGGCGGACGGGUGAGUAAUGUAUGGGGACUGCCCGAUAGAGGGGGCUAACUACUGGAAACGGUAGCUAAUACCGCAUACUAUCGGAUAACCCAUAUGGGAUUAGCUUGUAGGGGAGGUAACGGCGCACCUAGGCGACGAUCCCUAGCUGGUCUGAGAGGAUGAUCGGCCACACGGGGACGGAGACACGGCCCAGACUCCUACGGAGGCAGCAGUGGGGAAUAUUGAACAAUGGGCGCAAGCCUGAUGCAGCCAUGCCGCGUGUAUGAAGAAGGCCUUCGGGUUGUAAAGUACUUUCAGUCGGGAGGCGUUACCGACAGAAGAAGCACCGGCUAACUCCGUGCCAGCCGCCGCGGUAAUUC